rnacentral:rRNA from 1 species
AUUGAACGCUGGCGGCAGGCCUAACACAUGCAAGUCGAGCGGAUGACGGGAGCUUGCUCCUUGAUUCAGCGGCGGACGGGUGAGUAAUGCCUAGGAAUCUGCCUGGUAGUGGGGGACAACGUUUCGAAAGGAACUCUAAUACCGCAUACGUCCUACGGGAGAAAGCAGGGGACCUUCGGGCCUUGCGCUAUCAGAUGAGCCUAGGUCGGAUUAGCUAGUAGGUGAGGUAAUGGCUCACCUAGGAGACGAUCCGUAACUGGUCUGAGAGGAUGAUCAGUCACACUGGAACUGAGACACGGUCCAGACUCCUACGGGAGGCAGCAGUGGGGAAUAUUGGACAAUGGGCGAAAGCCUGAUCCAGCCAUGCCGCGUGUGUGAAGAAGGUCUUCGGAUUGUAAAGCACUUUAAGUUGGGAGGAAGGGCAGUAAGCUAAUACCUUGCUGUUUUGACGUUACCGACAGAAUAAGCACCGGCUAACUCUGUGCCAGCCGCCGCCGUAAAAC